rnacentral:rRNA from 1 species
UAGAGUUUGAUCCUGGCUCAGGCUGUACGCUAGCGGCAGGCUUCAUACAUGCAAGUCGAGGGGCAGCAUAAAUUACUUGUAAUUUGAUGGCGACCGGCGAACGGGUGCGUAACGCGUAUGCAACUUACCUUUUACUAGAGAAUAGCCAAGAGAAAUUUUGAUUAAUGCUCUAUGUUCUUAUUUACUCGCAUGAGUAAAUAAGCAAAGCUCCGGCGGUAAAAGAUGGGCAUGCGUCCUAUUAGCUUGUAGGUGAGGUAAUGGCUCACCUAAGCUCCGAUAGGUAGGGGUCCUGAGAGGGAGAUCCCCCACACUGGUACUGAGACACGGACCAGACUUCUACGGAAGGCAGCAGUAAGGAAUAUUGGACAAUGGAGGCAACUCUGAUCCAGCCAUGCCGCGUGAAGGAAGACGGCCUUAUGGGUUGUAAACUUCUUUUAUACAGGAAGAAACCUUUCCACGUGUGGAAAGCUGACGGUACUGUAAGAAUAAGGAUCGGCUAACUCCGUGCCAGCAGCCGCGGUAAUACGGAGGAUCCAAGCGUUAUCCGGAAUUAUUGGGUUUAAAGGGUCCGCAGGCUGUUUGUUAAGUCAGAGGUGAAAUCCUACCGCUCAACGGUAGAACUGCCUUUGAUACUGGCAAACUUGAGUUAUUGUGAAGUAGUUAGAAUGUGUAGUGUAGCGGUGAAAUGCAUAGAUAUUACACAGAAUACCGAUUGCGAAAGCAGAUUACUAACAAUAUACUGACGCUGAGGGACGAAAGCGUGGGUAGCGAACAGGAUUAGAUACCCUGGUAGUCCACGCCGUAAACGAUGGUCACUAGCUGUUCGAUGUACAUUGGUACGUUGAGUGGCUAAGCGAAAGUGAUAAGUGACCCACCUGGGGAGUACGCUCGCAAGAGUGAAACUCAAAGGAAUUGACGGGGGCCCGCACAAGCGGUGGAGCAUGUGGUUUAAUUCGAUGAUACGCGAGGAACCUUACCAGGACUUAAAUGUAAGUUGCAUGAUUCAGAAAUGAGUCUUUCUUCGGACUACUUACAAGGUGCUGCAUGGUUGUCGUCAGCUCGUGCCGUGAGGUGUCAGGUUAAGUCCUAUAACGAGCGCAACCCCUGUUGUUAGUUGCCAGCGAGUCAUGUCGGGAACUCUAACGAGACUACCGGUGCAAACCGAGAGGAAGGUGGGGAUGACGUCAAAUCAUCACGGCCCUUACGUCCUGGGCCACACACGUGCUACAAUGGCCGGUACAGAGAGCAGCCACUACGCGAGUAGGAGCGAAUCUAUAAAACCGGUCUCAGUUCGGAUCGCAGUCUGCAACCCGACUGCGUGAAGCUGGAAUCGCUAGUAAUCGGAUAUCAGCCAUGAUCCGGUGAAUACGUUCCCGGGCCUUGUACACACCGCCCGUCAAGCCAUGGAAGCUGGGAGUACCUGAAGUCGGUGACCGCAAGGAGCUGCCUAGGGUAAAACUAGUGACUGGGGCUAAGUCGUAACAAGGUAACC